rnacentral:rRNA from 1 species
CUAAGUUUGAUGGCGACCGGCGCACGGGUGAGUAACACGUAUCCAACCUGCCGAUGACUCGGGGAUAGCCUUUCGAAGGAAAGAUUAAUACCCGAUGGCAUAGUUCUUCCGCAUGGUAGAACUAUUAAAGAAUUUCGGUCAUCGAUGGGGAUGCGUUCCAUUAGAUAGUAGGCGGGGUAACGGCCCACCUAGUCUUCGAUGGAUAGGGGUUCUGAGAGGAAGGUCCCCCACAUUGGAACUGAGACACGGUCCAAACUCCUACGGGAGGCAGCAUG